rnacentral:ncRNA from 1 species
ACAAAGUUUGAUUCUAGCUUAAAACUUAAUUAAAAGAUUAUUUUACAUGUAAACUUUUGUACUAUUAAUAAUUUCUAAAGGAAAGUAAUUGUUCAAUCACAGUAUAUAUAUUUAUAUAUUAUUAAAUUUAGAUAUAGUAAUUCUUAUGAGGAUGGACAAAAUUCGUGCCAGCAGUCGCGGUUAUACGAUUAUAUUCAAUUUAAGUGUUAAUAUUACAGUUAUAAUUUUACUUAUUUUUAUAUCUGUAAAUUUUGGUGAAAUAAUAUUUAUGGAGUGGAUUAUUUUUUUUAUAUCUGAGAAACCUUAAUUUAAACUAGGAUUAGAUACCCUAUUAUUAAAGGUGUAAAACAUAUAAUUAGAUAAUUAAUAGUUAUGAUCUUUAAAUUCAAAGAAUUUGGCGGUAACUUAUCUUUUCAGAGGAACCUGUUCUUUAAUUGAUAAUCCACGAUAUAUUUUACUUUAUUUUAUACUUGUAUAUCUCUGUCAAGAAUGUUCUAUAAGGAAAUUUUCGUUAAUUUUAUUAAUAAUAUGUCAGGUCAAGGUGCAGUUUAUUUUAAAGUAGAAAUGGGUUACAUUUUAUUAUUAUUGGAUUAACAUUUGAAAUGAUAUUAUAAAAAAGGAUUUGAUAGUAAAUAUGUUAAGUUUAACUAGUUGAAUUAAGCUCUAAGUUAUGUACACAUCGCCCGUCACUCUCACUCUAAGGUGAGAUAAGUCGUAACAAAGUAGUUGUACCGGAAGGUGUGGCUAGAAUGA